AAAAUCUAUAGAUGUAUGAACAGCAAACAUCUAUAAUUGAUGGAAGCAGAGUUGAAAGAAAACGCAUUUCUUUCAACUUUGCUUCCAUCAAUUUGUUUCAUUCUUCAAGCAACGUCAUUUCACUUAUUAAUUCAGAAAUUUUAUUCUGUUCAAAGGCGUAAGAAGUAAAACAUUCUUCAUCUUUUCCUGAACCAAGAUUCCUGUAGAGAAAACAAUCAUUCAUAGGAUAAGGCUGAUGAGGACGCUGCAGACGCUUCGACUCUAAUAGGAAUUCCUCUAAAGACGUCGCACGUGAAAUUUGUUCUUCACAAGGAAUGCCUGUUUGGUCAACGGUUUCUUCUCGUUGGCGAUGACUCGAAUAUCAGUUCUUGGGAUCCAUCAAAAGCCAUUCCUUUGGAAUGGUCUGAUGGCCAUGUGUGGACAACUGAGCUGGGAACUUUCUCACUUCAUAGCAACUGGAAAACUUCACUGCAAGAUCGACAAAGUCGCCGACAUUCUAGAAACUAACCGACCUGACGCCAGAAAUGCUUUCUACCGGGCAACUAUCAAGCAGGGCGAUUUCUUGCUCAACCGCAUCCAGAAGCUAUCAUGAGUGAUCGAUUUGUAAACAAUCUUUUGUCCCUUAAACUUAAUAUGGUGCUGAAAUUUUCUUUCACUUAAUAUGGUGCUGAAAUUUUCUUUCACUUAAUAUGGUGCUGAAAUUUUCUUUCAUCUUUUCAUACAUCUCUCUAUGAAGCUCCUUAUCCGCAAAUUCAGUUGACAUUUGUUUGGAUAGAAAUUUCUGGGUCGAUGCGUAUCGAUUUGAAUUCUUAUAUUCCUAUUUGUCAUUUUGGCUAAAAUUAGCACACAAGAUCUGAUUUCUUGCGGCAGCUUAUCUAUAUUGUUUUUUCAUGUUGGUAGUGCAGUUCAUUCGGUAGUACUUUUUACUUGAAAUUGAAUUUAUUGGCAGAUGUUUAGUGCUGGCUCGAUUAAACUAACUGAUAUUUCUGCACGUACUGACCUAAUCUAAGGCAAGGUGAGUAUUUAUUCGCAAAAUAUGUCUUAUAUUUCUUGAAAUUAAGAUGUCUUUCGCUCCUUUCAGCUCUAACUUAAUUGGUUUCAUGUUUUCUAUCUAUCUUUUAACUGAAUUGAUAUUUGAGGGUAAUCUCUUUUGUCCUUUUGAACCAUAAAAUGUAGGAUAUUUCAGGACAAUCUCUUUUGUUCUUUCGAAUCAUAAAACUUGUCCCAAAAAAGAGUUCACCAAUCUUAGAAUGUUAUCCUGGUUUCAAAGUUUUGGUGGUCAAAGUUCCUAAGUUCAUAUAUGGCGGGGGACCACAACUUCUGUUGUUUCUGAUAAAGUGAUACAAUAUUAAAUGAUACAAUGUGUCAUAGUUUUUUGGCUCUUUUGUUGUUCUCUUUUUAUUGGUGCCAUAUGCUUCAUGAGUUGUGGUAAAUUAUUAAGUGCAAUAGAUUGGGGAGCCACCAUCUUAAUUACUACUUGUAUACGAAAUGGAGAUGCAUGUAUUAAAUUGCAUUUCGAGUCUGAUAAUCUGUCACCUUUAAAAUGUCUUGCUCAUUGUUGGAUAAUGUCUUUUUUUAAGAUGAAAUGAUUAUCUAAUACUAGAAAAUUUAUUCGUUUAGGUUUCAGACGCAUCCAGCGCUCGUAAUAUGCAUCAAUAAUCUCGUUGCCCUUCAGGUUCAACAUCUUAAUUGCCGAGCUCACUAAGACUGGAUCUGAUAUGAUAUUAUUAGUUUUUGUUUUUAUUUCUCUUUCUCUAGGGUUAAAAAGCUAGAAAUUGUUGGUACUGUGAUUUAGUGACUAAAUACUCAUUUAAAGAUAUAUGGAUAGUACUGUGAGACAUUUUGGUAUAUAUGACUACAAAACUUCUUUUAUA